rnacentral:rRNA from 1 species
UACGUAGGGGUCUAGCGUUGUUCGGAAUUACUGGGCGUAAAGGGCGCGUAGGCGGCCUGCUAAGUCGAACGUGAAAUCCCUGGGCUCAACCCAGGAACUGCGUCCGAUACUGGUUGGCUUGAAUCCGGGAGAGGGAUGUGGAAUUCCAGGUGUAGCGGUGAAAUGCGUAGAUAUCUGGAGGAACACCGGUGGCGAAGGCGACAUCCUGGACCGGUAUUGACGCUGAGGCGCGAAAGCCAGGGGAGCAAACGGG